rnacentral:ncRNA from 1 species
AGCAAAACAAAGACGAGGAUAAGUAGGUAUCCGAAUACGCCAUCUUCAGAGAGCCGGGUUGCUGGAAACCGGCGGUGGCAAGGGUAGUGAACUCACCUCGGAGUGCUCUUCUGAAUUGAGUAGGAGGAGCCGGGUGCAUCCGAAGCACUCGUUAUUAAAAUGAACAUGAUUGUUCCUGAGAUGGCCUUAAAGCCAUGAAAAAGGGUGGUACCGCGCAGAGUUUCUAACCUCUUCGCCCCUUUG